rnacentral:rRNA from 1 species
CGAAUGCUGACAUAAGUAACGAUAAAGCGGGUGAAAAGCCCGCUCGCCGGAAGACCAAGGGUUCCUGUCCAACGUUAAUCGGGGCAGGGUGAGUCGACCCCUAAGGCGAGGCCGAAAGGCGUAGUCGAUGGGAAACAGGUUAAUAUUCCUGUACUUGGUGUUACUGCGAAGGGGGGACGGAGAAGGCUAUGUUGGCCGGGCGACGGUUGUCCCGGUUUAAGCGUGUAGGCUGGUUUUCCAGGCAAAUCCGGAAAAUCAAGGCUGAGGCGUGAUGACGAGGCACUACGGUGCUGAAGCAACAAAUGCCCUGCUUCCAGGAAAAGCCUCUAAGCAUCAGGUAACAUCAAAUCGUACCCCAAACCGACACAGGUGGUCAGGUAGAGAAUACCAAGGCGCUUGAGAGAACUCGGGUGAAGGAACUAGGCAAAAUGGUGCCGUAACUUCGGGAGAAGGCACGCUGAUAUGUAGGUGAAGUCCCUCGCGGAUGGAGCUGAAAUCAGUCGAAGAUACCAGCUGGCUGCAACUGUUUAUUAAAAACACAGCACUGUGCAAACACGAAAGUGGACGUAUACGGUGUGACGCCUGCCCGGUGCCGGAAGGUUAAUUGAUGGGGUCAGCGCAAGCGAAGCUCUUGAUCGAAGCCCCGGUAAACGGCGGCCGUAACUAUAACGGUCCUAAGGUAGCGAAAUUCCUUGUCGGGUAAGUUCCGACCUGCACGAAUGGCGUAAUGAUGGCCAGGCUGUCUCCACCCGAGACUCAGUGAAAUUGAACUCGCUGUGAAGAUGCAGUGUACCCGCGGCAAGACGGAAAGACCCCGUGAACCUUUACUAUAGCUUGACACUGAACAUUGAGCCUUGAUGUGUAGGAUAGGUGGGAGGCUUUGAAGUGUGGACGCCAGUCUGCAUGGAGCCGACCUUGAAAUACCACCCUUUAAUGUUUGAUGUUCUAACGUGGACCCGUGAUCCGGGUUGCGGACAGUGUCUGGUGGGUAGUUUGACUGGGGCGGUCUCCUCCUAAAGAGUAACGGAGGAGCACGAAGGUUGGCUAAUCCUGGUCGGACAUCAGGAGGUUAGUGCAAUGGCAUAAGCCAGCUUGACUGCGAGCGUGACGGCGCGAGCAGGUGCGAAAGCAGGUCAUAGUGAUCCGGUGGUUCUGAAUGGAAGGGCCAUCGCUCAACGGAUAAAAGGUACUCCGGGGAUAACAGGCUGAUACCGCCCAAGAGUUCAUAUCGACGGCGGUGUUUGGCACCUCGAUGUCGGCUCAUCACAUCCUGGGGCUGAAGUAGGUCCCAAGGGUAUGGCUGUUCGCCAUUUAAAGUGGUACGCGAGCUGGGUUUAGAACGUCGUGAGACAGUUCGGUCCCUAUC